rnacentral:rRNA from 1 species
CACGGGGGGAGCAAGCGUUGUCCGGAAUCACUGGGCGUAAAGGGCGCGUAGGCGGCUUCUCAAGCGUGUGGUGAAAGUCCGGGGCUCAACCCCGGAUCGGCCGUGCGGACUGGGGAGCUCGAGUUCUGUAGAGGCGGGUGGAAUUCCGGGUGUAGCGGUGGAAUGCGUAGAGAUCCGGAAGAACACCGGCGGCGAAGGCGGCCCGCUGGGCAGAGACUGACGCUGAGGCGCGACAGCGUGGGGAGCAAACAGG